AACGAACGCUGGCGGCAGGCUUAACACAUGCAAGUCGAGCGCCCCGCAAGGGGAGCGGCAGACGGGUGAGUAACGCGUGGGAAUCUACCCAUCUCUACGGAAUAACACAUAGAAACGUGUGCUAAUACCGUAUACGUCCUUCGGGAAAAAGAUUUAUCGGAGAUGGAUGAGCCCGCGUUGGAUUAGCUAGUUGGUGGGGUAAAGGCCUACCAAGGCGACGAUCCAUAGCUGGUCUGAGAGGAUGAUCAGCCACACUGGGACUGAGACACGGCCCAGACUCCUACGGGAGGCAGCAGUGGGGAAUAUUGGACAAUGGGCGCAAGCCUGAUCCAGCCAUGCCGCGUGAGUGAUGAAGGCCCUAGGGUUGUAAAGCUCUUUCACCGGUGAAGAUAAUGACGGUAACCGGAGAAGAAGCCCCGGCUAACUUCGUGCCAGCAGCCGCCGUAAGAC
rnacentral:rRNA from 1 species